GGCUCAGUGGUCCAACUGUAAAGCGCCUGUAACGGAGUCAGAGUGUCCUGGGUUCGAUCCCCAGCAGGGUCA
rnacentral:tRNA from 1 species